rnacentral:rRNA from 1 species
ACGCUAGCGGCAGGCUUAACACAUGCAAGUCGAGGGGCAGCGGGGAGGAAGCUUGCUUUCUCCGCCGGCGACCGGCGCACGGGUGAGUAACACGUAUGCAACCUGCCCCUGUCAGGGGGACAACCCGCCGAAAGGCGGGCUAAACCCGCGUACAUGCCACCGGGGCAUCCCGGAGGCAGGAAAGGCUUCGGCCGGACAGGGAUGGGCAUGCGGCGCAUUAGGCAGUAGGCGGGGUAACGGCCCACCUAACCGACGAUGCGUAGGGGUUCUGAGAGGAAGGUCCCCCACACUGGUACUGAGACACGGACCAGACUCCUACGGGAGGCAGCAGUGAGGAAUAUUGGUCAAUGGUCGGGAGACUGAACCAGCCAAGCCGCGUGAGGGAGGAAGGUACAGAGUAUCGUAAACCUCUUUUGUCAGGGAACAAAGACUGGGACGCGUCCCCGGAUGAGUGUACCUGAAGAAGAAGCAUCGGCUAACUCCGUGCCAGCAGCCGCGGUAAUACGGAGGAUGCGAGCGUUAUCCGGAUUUAUUGGGUUUAAAGGGUGCGCAGGCGGUCUGUUAAGUCAGCGGUCAAAGCCCGGGGCUCAACCCCGGCCCGCCGUUGAAACUGGCAGUCUCGAGUUGGAGAGAAGUAUGCGGAAUGCGCGGUGUAGCGGUGAAAUGCAUAGAUAUCGCGCAGAACUCCGAUUGCGAAGGCAGCAUGCCGGCUCCACACUGACGCUGAGGCACGAAAGCGUGGGUAUCGAACAGGAUUAGAUACCCUGGUAGUCCACGCAGUAAACGAUGAAUGCUGGCUGUCCGGGGGGACUGACCCCUGGGUGGCGAAGCGAAAGCGAUAAGCAUUCCACCUUGGGAGUACGCCGGCAACGGUGAAACUCAAAGGAAUUGACGGGGGCCCGCACAAGCGGAGGAACAUGUGGUUUAAUUCGAUGAUACGCGAGGAACCUUACCCGGGCUCAAACGGGGAGUGACUCAGGCAGAGACGCCUGUUUCCCACGGGACACUCCCCGAGGUGCUGCAUGGUUGUCGUCAGCUCGUGCCGUGAGGUGUCGGCUUAAGUGCCAUAACGAGCGCAACCCCCGCGUGCAGUUGCUAACAGAUAACGCUGAGGACUCUGCACGGACUGCCGGCGCAAGCCGCGAGGAAGGCGGGGAUGACGUCAAGUCAGCACGGCCCUUACGUCCGGGGCGACACACGUGUUACAAUGGGUGGUACAGCGGGAAGCCAGGCGGCGACGCCGAGCGGAACCCGAAAUCCACUCUCAGUUCGGAUCGGAGUCUGCAACCCGACUCCGUGAAGCUGGAUUCGCUAGUAAUCGCGCAUCAGCCAUGGCGCGGUGAAUACGUUCCCGGGCCUUGUACACACCGCCCGUCAAGCCAUGGGAGCCGAGGGCGCUUGAAGU